UUGAGUAGGAAUGGAGUUGAAUGGCUUAAAACCUGGGGUAGGAAUUAAAUGGGAUCAUAUACUCUAGUAUAUUCUAAUACUCCCAGCACCAUAACUGAUACAAACAGAGUCAAUAAAUUGCGGUUUCUUUUCCUUUUUGACACUGAGAUUCUUGGAUUUUAAGAUGCUCUAAUAUGGAUUGUUGGCCCUUUGGCUUUAAUAUGCCACAGUUCUAUAAUUUCAACACACUGUAAUUCUGCCCUGCUAACAUGCUAUGAUUUUAAUAUUCUAACUUGCCAUAAUUGUGUGACUGUAGAAACUGCACAGUCUAUGAUUUUGUAAUUUAAUAGUCUCUAGCUUUAACAAUCCCAGAUUCAAUAAAAUGUCUCUUACCA
rnacentral:lncRNA from 1 species